CUGUGUGUGUUUAUCCAGAUGAGGACCGAAGACUGAGAUGAGGCUCUGAGAGAUGGAGAAGACGGCCUAGAAUACACAGCCAGUUAAGCAUCUGUGGCAGGAUGUGAACCCAGGACUCACAAUAUCAAGUUUUGUACUCUAUUCACUCUCUUUACCUAAUUAAAUUCCAGGUGGACACUCCCCCAGCUUGUUCAUCUUCAUGGGAAAAGUUAUCUGAA